rnacentral:rRNA from 1 species
CAACUUGAGAGUUUGAUCCUGGCUCAGAACGAACGCUGGCGGCAGGCUUAACACAUGCAAGUCGAACGCCCUCUUCGGAGGGAGUGGCAGACGGGUGAGUAACACGUGGGAACCUACCUAGGGGUACGGAAUAACUCGGGGAAACUCGUGCUAAUACCGUAUACGACCCAAGGGUGAAAGAUUUAUCGCCCCUAGAUGGGCCCGCGCUGGAUUAGCUAGUUGGUGGGGUAAAAGCCUACCAAGGCGACGAUCCAUAGCUGGUCUGAGAGGAUGAUCAGCCACACUGGGACUGAGACACGGCCCAGACUCCUACGGGAGGCAGCAGUGGGGAAUCUUGGACAAUGGGGGAAACCCUGAUCCAGCCAUGCCGCGUGAGUGAUGAAGGCCUUAGGGUUGUAAAGCUCUUUCGCCAGGGAAGAUAAUGACGGUACCUGGAUAAGAAGCCCCGGCUAACUCCGUGCCAGCAGCCGCGGUAAUACGGAGGGGGCUAGCGUUGUUCGGAAUUACUGGGCGUAAAGCGCACGUAGGCGGCUAUCCAAGUUGGGGGUGAAAUCCCUGGGCUUAACCCAGGAACUGCCUUCAAAACUGGAUGGCUAGAGUCCGAGAGAGGUGAGUGGAAUUUCCAGUGUAGAGGUGAAAUUCGUAGAUAUUGGAAAGAACACCAGUGGCGAAGGCGGCUCACUGGCUCGGUACUGACGCUGAGGUGCGA